rnacentral:rRNA from 1 species
UGGGGAAUAUUGCACAAUGGGCGCAAGCCUGAUGCAGCCAUGCCGCGUGUGUGAAGAAGGACUUCGGGUUGUAAAGCACUUUCAGCGGGGAGGAAGGCGUUAAGGUUAAUAACCUUGGCGAUUGACGUUACCCGCAGAAGAAGCACCGGCUAACUCCGUGCCAGCAGCCGCGGUAAUACGGAGGGUGCAAGCGUUAAUCGGAAUUACUGGGCGUAAAGCGCACGCAGGCGGUCUGUCAAGUCGGAUGUGAAAUCCCCGGGCUCAACCUGGGAACUGCAUUCGAAACUGGCAGGCUAGAGUCUUGUAGAGGGGGGUAGAAUUCCAGGUGUAGCGAUGAAAUGCGUAGAGAUCUGGAGGAAUACCGGUGGCGAAGGCGGCCCCCUGGACAAAGACUGACGCUCAGGUGCGAAAGCGUGGGGAGCAAACAGG